GCGAGUUUAUAUAGGCAAUGAAGAAAGCAAAACACAUCUCUAACUUUUUUUUGCACGCUUGAUGUAAGCUGCUUGUAAGACAAAGGCUCUUGAGUUGUGGUUUCGAUUUAUGCAUUUCAUGUGUGUGGUUGUACAAUGUUUUUCUAGACUUUUUCUUUUUAAUACAAUAGGCAACUCUCGUGCCGGUUCUGUUUCAAAAACAAUAACGAGGAUGUUUGGUUGCCCGCCUUUGUUCGCCACCUCUAAGCUUUGGCUGCCACAAGAAGCUAUUUGGUUGGUAAUUGAUGUUUGGUAUGCAACAAGAAUAGCAGUUCUUAUAUAUGUUUUAUUUCCACAACUAUGGUGCUAUUUUUUGACGCCACAGUUUAUGGCGACG
rnacentral:lncRNA from 1 species